rnacentral:rRNA from 1 species
UACGUAGGGGGCAAGCGUUGUCCGGAAUUAUUGGGCGUAAAGAGCGCGUAGGCGGUCCGAUAAGUCGGCUGUGAAAGUCCAGGGCUCAACCCUGGAAAGCCGGCCGAUACUGUCGGACUAGAGUCCGGAAGAGGCAAGUGGAGUUCCCGGUGUAGCGGUGAAAUGUGUAGAGAUCGGCAGGAACACCCAGGGGGAAACCAGCCGACUGGGACAUUGCUGACGCUGAGGUGCGAGAGCGUGGGGAGCGAACCGGAUUAGA